GAUGAACGCUGGCGGCGUGCCUAAUACAUGCAAGUCGAGCGAGAGGCGGACGGGUGAGUAAUGUCUGGGAAACUGACUGAUGGAGGGGGAUAACUACUGGAAACGGUAGCUAAUACCGCAUACCAUCAGAUGGGCCCAGAUGGGAUUAGCUAGUAGGUGGGGUAAUGGCUCACCUAGGAGACGAUCCCUAGCUGGUCUGAGAGGAUGACCAGCCACACUGGAACUGAGACACGGUCUAGACUCCUCCGGGAGGCAGCAGUGGGGAAUAUUGCACAAUGGGCGCAAGCCUGAUGCAGCCAUGCCGCGUGUGUGAAGAAGGCCUUCGGGUUGUAAAGCACUUUCAGCGAGGAGGCGUUACUCGCAGAAGAAGCACCGGCUAACUCCGUGCCAGCAGCCGCGGUAAUAC
rnacentral:rRNA from 1 species